UAUUGAUAUUAGCAUUGUUAGCUUUGUGUUUUUGUAAAGUCUUCUGCUAUUCCAUUACAUUCCGAUUGGAAUUACACGUUGAUUUUACAAAUAUACAGAAUUAAACAUCAUCCAUGGAAACUC
rnacentral:precursor_RNA from 15 species